rnacentral:rRNA from 1 species
AUUGAACGCUGGCGGCAGGCCUAACACAUGCAAGUCGAGCUAGCGGCGGACGGGUGAGUAAUGUCUGGGAAACUGCCUGAUGGAGGGGGAUAACUACUGGACACGGUAGCUAAUACCUCAUACCAUCCGAUGUUCCCAGAUGGGAUUAGCGAGUAGGUGGGGUAACGGCUCACCUAGGCGACCAUCCCUAGCUGUACUGAGAGGAUGACCAGACAAACUGGAACUGAGACACGGUCCAGAAUCCUACGGGAGGCAGGAGUGGGGAAUAUUGCACAAAGGGCGCAAGCCUGAAGAAGACAUGCCGCGUGUAUGAAGAAGGACUUCGGGUUGUAAAGUACUUUCAGCGGGGAGGAGUUACACGCAGAAGAAGCACCGGAUAACUCCGUGCAAGCAGACGCGGUAAUAC